rnacentral:lncRNA from 10 species
AAGUCUCUUCGCUGCUCUAAUCUCACUCCUCAGAGGUGAUCACUGGACCUGAGUGAGCAGAAGGCUUUUCAGAAUUACAGCCUGAACUAUUUCUUGAGCAAUUUGGGAACUCAUUUCUAAAGCAGUCCUCAGAUUCACACAACGUAGUUUGUGACGGAGUAUGCCCAGAGCAGCUGUCUUGUUGAUGGGGGUGCACCCUGACGAAUGGUGUGCUGGCAAAGAUUUAACAAAAGGCUCCAGAGGAGGGCAGACUUGAAGUGGAGCCUUCAGUGGGCAGUGUGAAGGGUGCUGAUUUCAAACAACUCAUCUGGUAUGACUGAACAUGAAGUUGGGAAGAGAUGUGCAUAAUUGAAGUGGGUGAGAGCCAGUCCAGCACCCUGCAGAGAGUGUGGAAGAUGAUCAAAGUAUGACAUUUCUUCUACCCCAGAGGCUGGCAUUUCUGCAGGCACAAAUGAGCUUGGUUUUCAAGCACUGCUCUUUGAACACAAGGAAUUCCUUUAAUGAUCACGCCGGACUAUAUAGACUUUGGAAUCAGACUCUUUGAAUUCCAGCUCUGCCAUUUACCAACUUUGACACUUUGGACAACGUCUCAUUCUGUCACCCAGGCUGGAGUGCAGUGGCACAAUUAUAGCUCACUGCAGCCUCAAA